CGGUGUUCAACUGGCGUGUCCGCGGGACGUCCUGCCGGUGGGCUUAGCCCGCAAGGGCGGCCCAACUUCAAAUCCCAUCGCGGUGCUCUUCACUGAGUGUCGAGGUGGGCCGGCACGUUUACUUUGAACAAAUUAGAGUGCUUAAAGCAGGCUAAAACUUCGCCUGAAUACUGUGUGCAUGGAAUAAUGGAAUAGGACCUCGGUUCUAUUUUGUUGGUUUUCGGAACCCCGAGGUAAUGAUUAAUAGGAACGGAUGGGGGCAUUCGUAUUGCGACGUUAGAGGUGAAAUUCUUGGAUCGUCGCAAGACGGACAGAAGCGAAAGCAUUUGCCAAAAACGCUUUCAUUGAUCAAGAACGAAAGUUAGAGGUUCGAAGGCGAUCAGAUACCGCCCUAGUUCUAACCAUAAACGAUGCCAGCUAGCGAUCCGUCGACGUUCCUCCGAUGACUCGACGGGCAGCUUCCGGGAAACCAAAGCUUUUGGGUUCCGGGGGAAGUAUGAUUGCAAAGCUGAAACUUAAAGGAAUUGACGGAAGGGCACCACCAGGAGUGGAGCCUGCGGCUUAAUUUGACCCAACACGGGAAACCUCACCAGGCCCGGACACCGGAAGGAUUGACAGAUUGAGAGCUCUUUCUUGAUUCGGUGGGUGGUGGUGCAUGGCCGUUCUUAGUUGGUGGAGCGAUUUGUCUGGUUAAUUCCGAUAACGAACGAGACUCUAGCCUGCUAACUAGGCGUAUUUUCGACAUCUCAAAGGUCCGUCGUCCCGGCCCUCGGGUCGUGGGCGUGCGCGAUUUUUACUGUCGGCGUACUAUCAAUUCUUCUUAGAGGGACAGGUGGCUUCUAGCCGCACGAGAUUGAGCAAUAACAGGUCUGUGAUG
rnacentral:rRNA from 1 species